CCGUCAUUACCUGCUGAGUAGGGCGCGGGCUGGUGGGGCUUACCGAGCACCCUCGCUGUCUGAGUCAUUAAGCAAACCCGGAGGCUUGUCGUGGGUGUGGGUCCCCUUCCAUCUGAGAACGAAUGGGAUGAGUUUCUGGAGAGACUUGGCCGGAGAAGGGCCGGGGCAGCUCGGGAAGUAGUCUGCCUCACAGAAGAAUUCAGGAAGGCCUCCUGGGAGAGUACCUUUGUGCCGAGCCUUGAUAGAUUCUGGCGAGAAGGAAUGAGGGAACAGGUUGAGGAGACUGUUGUGGGCAAAGCAUGGCGGUGUGAUUGCCUAAGAUCGCAGAUAAUCAGGUUUUGUACAUUCUUGGCUCAGAAAGUUGGACAGGACAGGAAGUCUUUUUUGGAAUACAAACCCACUGGUGGAAAAUUCAAAGGACUACUGGGAACAGGCAGGUAACUUCAGUGAAGUGGUCUAGGUGUGACAUCACUUGAUAUCCAUCCCCCAC
rnacentral:lncRNA from 1 species